ACGGUCCUAAGGUAGCGAAAUUCCUUGUCGGGUAAGUUCCGACCUGCACGAAUGGCAUAAUGAUGGCCACACUGUCUCCUCCCGAGACUCAGUGAAGUUGAAAUGUUUGUGAUGAUGCAAUCUCCCCGCGGCUAGACGGAAAGACCCCAUGAACCUUUACUGUAGCUUUGCAUUGGACUUUGAACCGAUUUGUGUAGGAUAGGCGGGAGGCAGAGAAAGCGCAACGCCAGUUGUGCCGGAGCCGACGUUGAAAUACCGCCCUGAUUUGUUUGAGGUUCUAACCGCGACCCGUGAGCCGGGUCCGGGACCGUGCAUGGCAGGCAGUUUGACUGGGGCGGUCUCCUCCUAAAGGGUAACGGAGGAGUACAAAGGUACGCUAGGUACGGUCGGAAAUCGUGCUGAUAGUGCAAAGGCAAAAGCGUGCUUGACUGCGAGACCGACAAGUCGAGCAGAUGCGAAAGCAGGUCUUAGUGAUCCGGUGGCUCUGUAUGGAAGGGCCAUCGCUCAACGGAUAAAAGGUACUCUGGGGAUAACAGGCUGAUACCGCCCAAGAGUUCAUAUCGACGGCGGUGUUUGGCACCUCGAUGUCGGCUCAUCUCAUCCUGGGGCUGUAGCCGGUCCCAAGGGUAUGGCUGUUCGCCAUUUAAAGAGGUACGUGAGCUGGGUUUAAAACGUCGUGAGACAGUUUGGUCCCUAUCUGCCGUGGGCGCUGGAAGAUUGACGGGGGCUGCUCCUAGUACGAGAGGACCGGAGUGGACGCACCUCUGGUGUACCGGUUGUCACGCCAGUGGCAUCGCCGGGUAGCUAUGUGCGGAAGAGAUAACCGCUGAAAGCAUCUAAGCGGGAAACUUGCCUGAAGAUAAGUCUUCCCGGAGGCUGGACCUCCCUGAAGAGUCGUUCGAGACCAGGACGUUGAUAGGUCGGGUGUGUAAGCGUUGUGAGACGUUUAGCUAACCGAUACUAAUUGCUCGUGAGGCUUGAUCCU
rnacentral:rRNA from 1 species